rnacentral:rRNA from 21 species
UUUAUGGAGAGUUUGAUCCUGGCUCAGGAUGAACGCUGGCGGCGUGCCUAAUACAUGCAAGUCGUGCGGCAGCGCGAGUAGUUUACUACUUGGCGGCGAGCGGCGAACGGCUGAGUAACGCGUAGGAAUGUACCCCAAAGUGAGGGAUAAGCUCCAGAAAUGGAGUCUAAUACCGCAUAUGGUCUUCGGAUUAAAGCUUUCGAGCGCUUUGGGAACAGCCUGCGUCCGAUUAGGUUGUUGGUGAGGUAAUGGCUCACCAAGCCGACGAUCGGUAGCUGGUCUGAGAGGAUGACCAGCCAGACUGGAACUGAGACACGGUCCAGACUCCUACGGGAGGCAGCAGUAAGGAAUCUUCCACAAUGGGGGCAACCCUGAUGGAGCAACGCCGCGUGCAGGACGAAGGCCUUCGGGUUGUAAACUGCUUUUAUGAGCGAAGAAUUUGACGGUAACUCAUGAAUAAGGGCCGGCUAACUACGUGCCAGCAGCCGCGGUCAUACGUAGGGCCCGAGCGUUAUCCGGAGUGACUGGGCGUAAAGAGUUGCGUAGGCGGUUUGUUAAGCAGAUAGUGAAAUCAUAUGGCUCAACCAUUAUGGCUAUUAUCUGAACUGGCAAACUCGAGAAUGGUAGAGGUAACUGGAAUUUCUAGUGUAGGAGUGAAAUCCGUAGAUAUUAGAAGGAACACCAAUGGCGUAGGCAGGUUACUGGACCAUUUCUGACGCUAAGGCACGAAAGCGUGGGGAGCGAACCGGAUUAGAUACCCGGGUAGUCCACGCCGUAAACUAUGGAUGCUAGCUGUUGGAGGUAUCGACCCCUUCAGUAGCGAAGCUAACGCGUUAAGCAUCCCGCCUGUGGAGUACGGCCGCAAGGCUAAAACAUAAAGGAAUUGACGGGGACCCGCACAAGUAGCGGAUGAUGUUCUUUAAUUCGAUGAUAAGCGAAGAACCUUACCAGGGCUUGACAUCCUGCGAAUUUUUCCGAAAGGAAAAAGUGCCCCAAGAGCACAUAAAAAGUGAUUUUGUGUGUUGUUGGGGGAACGCAGUGACAGGUGCUGCAUGGCCGUCGUCAGCUCGUGUCGUGAGAUGUUUGGUUAAGUCCAUUAACGAGCGCAACCCUUGCAAAUAGUUGGAUUUUUCUAUUUGGACUGCCCCGGCAACGGGGAGGAAGGAGGGGAUGAUGUCAGGUCUUUAUUGCCCUUACGCCCUGGGCUAGAAACGUCAUACAAUGGCCAGUACAAUGCGCAGCGAAGCCGCGAGGUGAAGCAAAUCGCAUCAAAGCUGGUCCCAGUUCGGAUAAGAGGCUGAAACUCGCCUCUUUGAAGCCGGAGUUACUAGUAAUCGCAGGUCAGCAUACUGCGGUGAAUACGUUCCCGGGUCUUGUACACACCGCCCGUCAAACCAUGAAAGUCGGGGGCACCCGAAGUCCUAACUUGUUAGGCCUAAGGUGAACCAGAUGAUUGGGGUUAAGUCGUAACAAGGUAUCCGUAGCGGAAGCUGCGGAUGGAUUACCUCCUUU